GACCCAAUUGUUAAACAUUAACUGUGCAAUAAAUAUUGACAAUACAGUCGGAAAUACUCGUGAUCUGCAGUAAUUGAAACAAGUAGUAAUUUUUCUACAGUCUGAUUUUUAGUGUCAUUCCGGAGAGCCGACAAUAUGCCUUCAUGAGUCAUGCUUACAGUGGGUUGUAGUUACAUAUGUAGGAAAUUUCAUCAUUGUUACAUUUCCCGACGGGUCAGGCGUCGUUCAGCAUGAUCUAGCCUGUGCCGCAUGUCAAAAGCAGGGAGAAGAAAAUCGAGGUUCUUUACUGGCCUGGAGACUUUCUGGAUUCAAACCCUAUAAAGAAUCUGUGUCCAAUCUGCAAGCAGCGCCUUCGUGGAGUGGACGGUACCACAAAAGAUAAGCUUAUUCAGGCAUAAUUCAAGUACAGUACUGGGACCACAAGAUCAUCAAAGACUGCUUAAAAUUGUAGGAUGUUAUGCCAAAUCACAUCCAAAAAAGGAGAUCAUAUUAUAUGUAUAUUGAAAUGUUGAUAUGUUGAACUUGUUUCAAUUAAUUUACAGAAGGGUGUACUUUAGGAUAGUUUAGAAGAAGUCCUACAGUGACCAGGUAGGACACCCGGGGGUACACGCUGAGCCACUUCAGGUGUUACAAAGUACUUUAAAACUGAAAAUCAUCCUCUACUUAGCUAAAUAGUUCAGUAAAUGGUUUGUUUCCUUGAUUGAAAGAUUCAACCAGCUGUUUUGCAUUAAUAUUAGUGGCACAUGCAGGGUUAUUGGAGACUGACCAAUCAGCACACAGCAAGGACUAAGUGUUUAAGUGAAAUCCAGGUCCUUUUGAUUGCAGUGGUAGUUUACAAAUCCUGCCCGAGCUCAAAGUGUCCUUCUUGACAUGGACUUUCUGGUCACGCUAUGAAGCACCACUGCCUCAGCAAAGAUCCCAUGGUGUGUCAGAGCAGAAACUCCCAGAAAAUCUGGAAGGAGGCACAGAUGUGUGUAGGUGUAAAAAACAAAAGUCUUUGAAGCUUGCAGAUGGAGAAAAGUUUCUGUUGUUUGGUAAAACCAAGACGAGCUUCUGCGUGAAUGAAAGGCGCUUUUGCUUUGAUCAAAAUUUACAGAAAUGUUCAUACUUGUAUCUUGGUACAAUGGGGAAGCUUAUGAAAAGCGGCUAUUGGGGUCCGAAUGAAUCUUCAAAAAAGCAGCCGAAUGCAAGACGAAUGUAGACCAGUAACAAGAGAACGACAGGCAAAUUACUAAACAAACAACUGGCUUUGACUUGAAAAGAUGGAUGUGUUUGAGAUGUUCAGAUUCAACUUCUUAGUAAAGUUGAUACAGACAUGUCAACUAAGACAUGUAGGCAUAAAAGCCGAUAAUACUGCACGCCUACUUACUGCAUAUUUCAGCUUUUAAUUUGUAUUUAUACAAAUAUAUUUUACAAAACAAAAGCAUUCCUGGCUUUUUAAAUGAACAAUUCCAGUACAUCUACAAAACUUGCUAAUAUUUCAGGGUAGUACCCUUACUGCCAUUUAUUUAAUAAAUGAUGCUUUGUGCGAUCAGCUUCUGAUAAUUUUAAUCUGGUUUAGUUCACUUAAACUCCACCGGAUGUUAACAAACUUUUAAGUCGCCGUCUCUAUUGACACAAUCGAGUAGAAGCACCUUCCUCAAUAAAACGUACAGGAUUGUGGUUGCAGCUUGUGGAAUUUCCGCACGAUAUCCUGCCUGCGCCCAUUUCAAAGCCAAGCGUGAGGAAACAAUUCUUUCAGACAGGAAACAAUUGGGACCAAGACCCAACAGUGGAUCUCCUCAAAGAUUCUGAUGAUCAAAUCCUCCCCAAACAUUCCUCUGAUGAUGAUGGCAUUACGAAUCUGUGUCAUCGUGACCCAUCAGCAUGUGCAAGACAGCACAGGUCUACUGGGGUGUGGAGCUGGGUGAUGAUGAGCAGAUUGUUUAUUUGUUCCAAGACGGGGUCAAGGCCAGUCUGUGAGCCCCACCCUCCCACAGCCAUCAAAGCGUAUGAGGGGAAAUGCAGGUGCACUGAUCUGACUUACCAAGACCACAAAGGCUAUGCAUGUGUGCUGAGUUAUAGAUGCACGGACUGCACCAGAGUUAACUGCACUGCUGGUGACCAGUGGUAUUUCAGGUUUACAUUGCAAAUAGUCACUCGUCUCUUACUUGACUGCAAUGAAUUGGGGGUCAUUAGCUCUGUAGACAAAACUGUCCAAGUUACACAAGCGUGCCCAGCAGGUACCAUGUACCACAGGUUGCUUCACCACGAGGCCCCAUAUUUUACAUUUAAAUAAAUAAAAUAUGAUUCUGCACAAAACUUCAUAAAGGAGACCAUACAUUUUUAUGAAUGCCUUCCUUCUCAUCACAAAAAACACGCUGUGGACGUAUUUUAUUUUGCCAUUUACCAUAAAAAAAAACCUUUGUAGUAAUAAAACAAGACUAACAAAUUAAGUGUGGAUUUUAAACCAUGUGACUUCACACACACCAAAAUUCCAAGUAGACCUAACCCUAACCCUAACACCCUUUCAUUAAAACAAGAAAAGUUUCGUUUCCUGAUAAAAUGUUGGCUCAAAACUGUCUUCACAAUGCUUUUAUCAAAACAUCACCACCUAUUCAAUGUCGAGAGAUGUACGAUAAUAACGUUGUCUUUUCCAAAACCUUUUCAUGAUCUAAGCCUAAAAGUAAAAAAAAAUGUGAAAAAUCAUGUGACCACGACGGCCAGAUCCCUAAAAAGUUCACACGCUACCUGGAGUGAAAGAAAAGACAUCUGGUGAACUUUAUAGCUCUGGAGCCUAUCGGUGUCCUCCAGUGAGAAUACUGAUGCUUGUACUGCCAUUGAGCUGAACUCCGCUUAACCUUGAGCUAUGCAGAUGCAGCAGGACAGGAUCUCCAGGAAGCAACUUCCAAACACAAGCGUUGACCUGCUGACAUUUUUAAUAAGCCCAUGAGAGACUGGCAUGUGCUACAGUACGACUUUACACCUUAUGUGCGCUGAGAGACCAGUUAAAAGGCUUCUGCGAUUCCCUAAACAUCCAUUAAAGCCACGUACAGACACACUCAAAACAGUAAAAAGUUCUUUCAUUUUAUUUCCAAAAACACUUUCAUUGUUCACUGUUACGAG